rnacentral:lncRNA from 1 species
CCCUCCAUUUUCAAUUGGUUGGCAACAAGUUUUUCAAUUGACAAGUGCAAUCUUCUUCUCACCAUUUCUUUGCCCCCAAACAAAAUUCCUUGCAAUUGUCUCAAUUUUCUUGCAGACCCCGACAGGAAUAGGAGCAUAAAAAAAUUAGGAAUCGUUAAUAAAACAGAUUUAGCAUGCGCAUUAUACCCAAGGUGUUCCUGGAUUUUGUCAAUAACAAACUGAAAAGUCUCUUCGUCACCCUCGAUGAAAAAGAGGCAUUCCCAAGUAGCUUCCCGAAUCAGAAGCAAAUCCCAUGAUACGACAAAUAGAAUCCGCACUAGAUUCAGAAACAUUAGUCGAGAAGAAGACUCUACUCUAGUCUUGUUUGCAUUCACUUUGUGGCCUGAAAAGGAGCAGAAAUAAUUUAGCACAUCAAUAACUAUUUUCGCUUAAAAAUCAUCUGCUUCACAAAAGGGAACUAAAUCAUCCGCGAAAAAUAAAUGCAUCCCUACUAAGUCAACUUGGUUUCCAAGCUCCUCGCAUCACAGAAGCAUCAAAACUUUGCCCUAACCUCUUCAUCAC